rnacentral:lncRNA from 1 species
CAGGCAGAUAAAAAGUUUUCUCAACACCCUUUUUAGGAGUCUGCAGGUUUCUCUUCUGAGAAUGAAUGCAGAAUGACAGAAGCAACACAUCUCUUUCCCUCAGAGCAAAGUAGACCAGAUGGUAACUGUAACUUAGGUGUUAGUAUCUUGUCAGCGCAACUUCAUUUUGUUCUUAGAACAAAUCCAGGUGUGUAGCCUAGGCUUUUACCACUUAAGCACAUUGACUUUCCUGUGCCCUGUAAUUCUCUAGGUUAUAAGUAGAACCAGCUAACAGUUGUGAUUACUUUUCCAGCUUCUGGAAAUUGAGAUUCACUAAUACUGACCUCUCUUUGUGUGUCUGUCUCUCUCUCUGACUCUCUGUCUCUCUCAGCCCAGGUAGACUUUGAGUUCCUUUGUAGCUGAGGCUGGCCUUAACUUGUACCUGCGUCCUCCUCCUGAGUGGGCACAGAUGUCUUUCAAACUGUGUGUAUAUUUUUGGAAUUACUAUGUUUUCUUCACAGGAAAGGCUUUUCAGACUUUUCAGCCAGGACAGAAAAGCAUAACUAGUUUUUUGUUUUGUUUUUCGAGGCAGAUUUCUCUGUAGACUAGGUGGCCUCAAAUUCACCGAGAUGUCUGCCUUUGCUCCCUAGUGGCUAGGGUUAAAGACAUGGACCACACUCACCCAGUACAUAACAAGUUUUUAAAAGUGGAUCUGUGAGCCAGAAGGUGGUUGUUCUAGAAUUACAGAUCCAUAGGUUUUGGAAAGACUUAUGCUUGAAGUUUCAACUCCUUAGCUACAUGAUAAUUUACCUUUGCUUAAACGUCUUUUAGGUCUGCUUUUGUUGUAAUUUAAGUCCAUUUUUUUCCCUUGUAUUGAGCUGUGUCUCAUGAUUUUUUGCUCUCCGAUCUUGGAAAUAGGUCUGCUCUGUGGAAAUACACUCAAGGCAUGCAUGUGAAAUUUAUUUGUCUUACAGAAAUACUUAUACUAUUGUUCUGAUACAGAUUAUUUAUAAAGAACAUAAUAUUUUGUGGGUAGCUUUUUAAAUUCUGCUGGUUAUGAGCCUUUAAUCCCAGUGCUUGGGAGGCACAGGUAAGCAGAGUUCAAGGUCCUUUCUUUCUCUGGUAGAACAGUGGGUCUGAAGGACUUAGGUGCUUUCUCAUUGUAACAACGACACGGUUUUUUAUAGAGACUGGAAAGCUUAGGUUCUUCAACCUAGUUGACUAGCUUGCUCUGACAAGUAGCUACCUGUAGGGAGAGUUCUGUGUGUUAGGAAGCUGUAUCCUGUGGUCACUCUCAUACAUUUACACAUAUCUACAUACAUGGAGGUGUUCUGAAGACUAGAGUCUAGGAUAUACUUAUCCAAGAGCAUGUAGCUCACAAACAUACUUAAUAUCUCUUGUCUUAUAAAAUUGCAAACUCUCUUUUUAGAGUAAAUAGGAUUUUUAUUUAAUUGCCUGUUGACUUUUUUUUUCCAGGGUUCAUUGAAAAAUCCUUAGUGAUUUUGACAUGUUCCAAGUGACAUAAAUUAGCCAAUGACUCGGAAUGACGGAUGAUUCUCUGAAGAUUGGAAAUGGUUUGCCACUGGUUGGACCAGGGACUGAUGUAGGGAUAUCUUCACUCCCCAUGCUGGGGUACUUGGGAAAAGUUAGUGUACUUAUUUUUGGCCUCAGUGCAAAACUGGUUAUUUUCCUCUUAUGUUUGAAAUUUAAAUGAAAUUUAAAAUUUUAUACUAUGAAUAAAAUCCUAAAAAAUUCUGUCUUCCACGGAAAUCUUACAGCAAUGGCGAAAGAUGAUUAUAAUUUGUUUACCUCUCUGUUAUUGAUAUGUGAAAUUAGAAACUAAUGCCUAGAUUUUAUGGUUUGUUAUUCUUUGAAAAUAUGGACUAUAUACAUUUUCCUUGGCAGUUGAUAUUUCCUUUUUCUUGUGAAUGAAGCUAAGUCAAAUUUUAAUGUUGUUUGGAUAAUAGCUGUUUAAGAUAGUAAAUGUGUUUAGUCUUGGCAGAAAUCUUCUAGAGGAAAAUUAUACAUUUUUUUUUCUGGUCACCCUUCCAUUUAACUCUUUUAUAACUUACUAUCAUAGGAAUGUCUUUUAAUUUGCUUUUUUCUCUUUUAGAAUUAUGCUUCAGCUAAAGUCACAACAGACGGGCAUUGCCCUGCUUGUAGAGCGAAAGGCAAGCUAAGUGCCUUAAAACCUUACCGCAUUAGCUUCCAAGAAUCUGUCUUUCUGUGUGAGGAUCUUCAGGUAAAGUACCACUAAUAUUAUUUAGUAUAUUGCUUUUAUAUAUAUUAUUUUGUGUACUUCUGCUUUUUCUUCAUUAUUUAAAUUUUAUUGGUUUUAUAUUUUUCAGAGUAUAAACUUUGAAUGCAUAGACAAUAUUUCGUAAUUUAUAUCUUUUUUUGUUGUUGUUUUUUUCAAGACAGGGUAUAGCCCUGGCUGUCCUGGAACUCACUCUGUAGACCAGGCUGGCCUUGAACUCAAGAGAUCUGCCUGCCUCUGCCUCCCAAGUGCUGGGAUUAAAAGCGUGCACCACCAUGCCUAGCCAUAAUUUAUAUUUUUAGUGCCCACAGUCUGUUAAGUAAAAGCAGUAAUAAGAUCUCUCACAAACAUUCAGUUUACAUUGGAUAAGUUGAAAAAGUUCUUUUUAAGAAUUUUAGCACUAAAAAUAAUCCUGUUUGGUUUUGUUUUUAUUUUGUUUUACAAUAAGAAGUUUGUGGUAUUAAAAAGACAUGCAAAUUAAUUUGGCAUUUAAAAAAUAGCCACUUACAUCUCCCC